rnacentral:rRNA from 1 species
UUGCAUGACUUGGGGUGGAAAGAUUUAUCGGUGCAGGAUGGGCCCGCGGCCUAUCAGCUUGUUGGUGGGGUAAUGGCCUACCAAGGCGACGACGGGUAGCCGACCUGAGAGGGUGACCGGCCACACUGGGACUGAGACACGGCCCAGACUCCUACGGGAGGCAGCAGUGGGGAAUAUUGCACAAUGGGCGAAAGCCUGAUGCAGCGACGCCGCGUGAGGGAUGACGGCCUUCGGGUUGUAAACCUCUUUCAGCAGGGACGAAGCGCAAGUGACGGUACCUGCAGAAGAAGCACCGGCUAACUACGUGCCAGCAGCCGCGGUAAUACGUAGGGUGCAAGCGUUGUCCGGAAUUACUGGGCGUAAAGAGUUCGUAGGCGGUUUGUCGCGUCGUUUGUGAAAACCAGCAGCUCAACUGCUGGCUUGCAGGCGAUACGGGCAGACUUGAGUACUGCAGGGGAGACUGGAAUUCCUGGUGUAGCGGUGAAAUGCGCAGAUAUCAGGAGGAACACCGGUGGCGAAGGCGGGUCUCUGGGCAGUAACUGACGCUGAGGAA